rnacentral:rRNA from 1 species
GAUGAACGCUAGCAGCAGGCCUAACACAUGCAGGUCGAGGGGUAACUAGAGUGAUAGCAAUAUUACUUUGGCUAGACCGGCGCACGGGUGCGUAACACGUAUGCAACCUACCUUAUACUGGGGAAUAACUUCGAGAAAUCGGCGCUAAUACCCCAUAACAUUGCGAAGAGGCAUCUCUUUGCAAUUAAAGCUCCGGCGGUAUAAGAUGGGCAUGCGUCCAAUUAGCUAGUUGGUGAGGUAACGGCUCACCAAGGCUACGAUUGGUAGGGGUUCGGAGAGGAUGAUCCCCCACACUGGUACUGAGACACGGAGCAGACUCCUACGGGAGGCAGCAGUGAGGAAUAUUGCGCAAUGGACGAAAGUCUGACGCAGCCAUGCCGCGUGCAGGAUGACGGCCCUAUGGGUUGUAAACUGCUUUUGUACGGGAAUAAACCCUUCUACGUGUAGGAGGCUGAAGGAACCGUAAGAAUAAGCACCGGCUAACUCCGUGCCAGCCGCCGCAGUAAUAC